rnacentral:rRNA from 1 species
UACGUAGGCAGCGAGCGUUGUUCGGAGUUACUGGGCGUAAAGGGUGUGUAGGCGGUUUUCUAAGUUUGGUGUGAAAUCUCCCGGCUCAACCGGGAGGGUGCGCCGAAAACUGGGAGACUAGAGUGCGGGAUGGGAGAGUAGAAUUCCUGGUGUAGCGGUGAAAUGCGUAGAUAUCAGGAGGAAUACCGGUGGUGAAGACGGCUCUCGGGACCGCCACUGACGCUGAGACACGAAAGCGUGGGUAGCAAACAGG